CAUUGGCGCAGCAGGCGGAGCUGGGCGGUGCGACCCUCGGCGCGCGAUGCGCCUGUGCGGAAUGCAGCGGGAGGCGGGGCAGGCUCACGGUGGUCCCGGGGGGUGGCUGGGACGGCGCACCCAGGGGUGGUCCAGGGAGCAGCGGGGGUCUCCCUGCGGGCUCGCGCGAAACUGGGCUGGAUUCAAGGUUGAGGGGAGAGGGUAAGCGAAGGGGUCGCGGGCAUAGGGGACCGCGGGCCGGGGUCUCCCGCGGGGCGGGGGUCCCAGCAAUGGGGGUGCGAGGGCUUAGCCUUUCCACGUGGUCUGGUUUUCGCUUGAAAAUCCCCGCAAAUGCGGCGGUAUCUCAAUUAUACAUGGACGCGUUGUCUUGAAUCAUAAAAUACUGUUCAUGUCGUGCCGGUUGCAUAUCAGCUUUUAACCCCCCAAACCUUGGGGCGAAAUGGACCCCGGGGAGAUAAACACAGCUCCCAGAAGUGCACUGCGGGUCAGGAGCCUGGCAGAUGCGUCCUGUUCCUCCCCCACUGCAGCCCUGUGAUAGCGUUUAUCACCGAGUUGGGAUGAGGGCCGGGUCACAGGUUCACCCAGCCUGGGCUCCCAGCUGGGCGGGCCCGGCCUGGCAGAGUCUGUGCUCCUGGCACGGGGCCUCACUCCCCAGGACAGUUCCAGGGGCCUGGGCGGGCUGGAGAAGGAAGGGGGAGCCCCCACACUGUAUUCCAAAUAAUGGGAGGCCCGGGGGGGUGCUGCUGCCCUCGCCUGUGCCCUCGCCCUGGGGUGGUGAAGGUCCAGACAGGGAAACGGAAGUCGUUCCUAUGUCAGGGCAAAAGGCAAAACAAGGAAGGGGAAGCCCGAGGAGGGAGGAGCUGUGGCAGCCCCAGAGCCCAGGAGUGCAGCCCCCAGAGACCAGGGCUACCCCUCUACAGUGUCGGACUGUGCAGGAGGGGGCGCCUCCACCGUCUCGGGCUGGUCAGGAGGGGCCCUCUGCUGUCUGGGGCUGUGCAGGAGGAUGCCCUUCUACCGUCUCGGGCUGGGCAGGAGGGGCCCAUCUAUCUUCCCCGGCUGCGCACGAGAGGCCCUCCCCCGUGUUGUGCUGUGCAAGCAGUGAGCAAGCGCCGCCUCCUUGGGAGCUGGGAUCCCAGACGGGAUUCAGCCAUUUUCAGAGACCUACCGAGAAACAAGAAUGCCAGAUCAAUUCCUCGCCUGGCAUCUCCCACCAGCGCCAUCGCUGCAGGAGCCUCGCAGGAAGCCAGCGGGCAGAGGAGAGUGGGGAAGGAGCUUGCAGCCUCCCAGCGCCAGUGCUGCGGAGCAGAAGGUGGCUGGGAGGCCGAGAAGCCGUAAGAAAACAGCAGGGCCAGCCCAUGUGGCGCUCAGAUACAUGCUGUGUGUGUUUGCAUAUGUAGGGCCUGGAAAAACUCCACCUCCAUCCUUUUGAGGUCCUGGCUGAGCCCAAGAGUUAAAUCAAGAUAAGACAGAUCAUCAUGCCAACGUAUUUGAUUCAGGUUGGAUGUGGCUCGGGAGCCCUCCUAAGGAAAUGAAGACUCAGUGAAGCGGCCUCAGUCACUCGUGUGCUGAGUUGGACGGAGAACAGUGAGGUUCCAGGAAGCAGCUAGAUGAUGUGAGGGCCUGAAAAGGUGCCUACGAUGAGAACUGUUGCAGGGACUCCGACAGCACACAACAUUCCAGAUCAGCUCCUCCUAUGAAGACGCCUCCCCAGCAACAAUUGUGUUACCCGUGAGUGAUCACUAACCCUGCAAUAAGCUCCUGUACCCAGUGAAGUCUAUUCCAAAACAAUCUGUGUAGACUUCCUCAUCUCACCCAUAAAAGAAAGACACACGUACGGUCCCCUACAGCAUGCAUAUCCCAGAUUGCAAUCCCCUGCCAUCCCCCAGUGAACUUCGUUUGGGAGA